rnacentral:rRNA from 1 species
UGUCGCAUUGCAUUCAUCAAACGCUGAAUAGCAAAGCCUCUACGCGAUUUCAUAGUGGAGGCCUCCAGCAAUCUUGAACACUCAUCCUUAAUACCUUUCUUUUUGGGGUAAUUAUACUCAUCGCGAAUAUCCUUAAGAGGGCGUUCAGCAGCCAGCUUGCGGCAAAACUGCGUAACCGUCUUCUCGUUCUCUAAAAACCAUUUUUCGUCCCCUUCGGGGCGGUGGUCUAUAGUGUUAUUA